UGGGGAAUUUUGGACAAUGGGCGAAAGCCUGAUCCAGCAAUGCCGCGUGUGUGAAGAAGGCCUUCGGGUUGUAAAGCACUUUUGUCCGGAAAGAAAUGGCUCUGGUUAAUACCUGGGGUCGAUGACGGUACCGGAAGAAUAAGGACCGGCUAACUACGUGCCAGCAGCCGCGGUAAUACGUAGGGUCCAAGCGUUAAUCGGAAUUACUGGGCGUAAAGCGUGCGCAGGCGGUUGUGCAAGACCGAUGUGAAAUCCCCGAGCUUAACUUGGGAAUUGCAUUGGUGACUGCACGGCUAGAGUGUGUCAGAGGGGGGUUAGAAUUCCACGUGUAGCAGUGAAAUGCGUAGAGAUGUGGAGGAAUACCGAUGGCGAAGGCAGCCCCUGGGAUAACACUGACGCUCAUGCACGAAAGCGUGGGGAGCAAACAGGAUUAGAUACCCUGGUAGUCCACG
rnacentral:rRNA from 1 species